rnacentral:rRNA from 1 species
AGAGUUUGAUCCUGGCUCAGGAUGAACGCUGGCGGCGUGCCUAAUACAUGCAAGUCGAACGCAUCUCUUCGGAGAUGAGUGGCGAACGGGUGAGUAAUACAUAGGUAACCUGCCCCUGUGCGGGGGAUAACAGGAGGAAACUCCUGCUAAUACCGCAUAGCCAUGAGCACCGCAUGGAGCUCAUGCCAAAUAUCCUUUCGGGGAUAGCGCAGGGAUGGACCUAUGGCGCAUUAGCUGGUUGGCGGGGCAACGGCCCACCAAGGCAACGAUGCGUAGCCGGCCUGAGAGGGCGGACGGCCACAUUGGGACUGAGACACGGCCCAGACUCCUACGGGAGGCAGCAGUAGGGAAUUUUCGGCAAUGGGGGAAACCCUGACCGAGCAACGCCGCGUGAGCGAAGAAGGCCUUCGGGUCGUAAAGCUCUGUUGUAAAGGAAGAACGUCGUACACAGGAAAUGGUGCACGAGUGACGGUACUUUACCAGAAAGCCACGGCUAACUACGUGCCAGCAGCCGCGGUAAUACGUAGGUGGCGAGCGUUAUCCGGAAUCAUUGGGCGUAAAGAGGGAGCAGGCGGCCGCAAGGGUCUGUGGUGAAAGACCGAAGCUAAACUUCGGUAAGCCAUGGAAACCGGGCGGCUAGAGUGCGGAAGAGGAUCGUGGAAUUCCAUGUGUAGCGGUGAAAUGCGUAGAUAUAUGGAGGAACACCAGUGGCGAAGGCGACGGUCUGGGCCGCAACUGACGCUCAUUCCCGAAAGCGUGGGGAGCAAAUAGGAUUAGAUACCCUAGUAGUCCACGCCGUAAACGAUGGUCACUAAGUGUCGGGGGUCAAACCCCGGUGCUGCAGUCAACGCAAUAAGUGACCCGCCUGAGUAGUACGUUCGCAAGAAUGAAACUCAAAGGAAUUGACGGGGGCCCGCACAAGCGGUGGAGCAUGUGGUUUAA